UGUUGCAAUAGAGGGGCCUGCCACUGCUGUGUGGAGCAGAGCUGUUACUCCUACCACAGCUCAGCUGGUACUGAGCCACACUCAAGGGCACUGCCAUAAAUAAGAGGAGGGGGAAGCCUGCUCUGGCUUGCCUCAGUUUGUGUGUGAACUGGUGAGCAAUGAACAUACUAAUGUUUGUGCUUGGUUCUGUGACAACACUAUAAACUGAUUAUGUAAUUCUUGUCAUUUCUAACCCUAUUUCUGCUUCAAAUGUGGUAUAUAGUGUUGAGAUUUUCAAUAGAAAACUGGUACUGCAUAAUUUAAUAUGAAAUUUGCUGCAGAAACAGAGGAUGAUAAUGGACAUUAUAUUUCAGUGUGUCUUAUAAUUCGCAGUGAAAGUGCUUACAUAACCACUAAUGUGUGUGAUUUACAAUUUAAUAGUGCUGUGAGUCUGGAAUGUGAAGGUUACCUUGGAAUAUAAACAAAUCAGUAAACAAUAACAAAAGACUGACACUAUACUUACAGGCAUGUAUUAAUGCUUUCAUGUGCAUUGGUCUGAAUUGCAAGAUUAUGAAAUGUAAUUGAGUAAAUCAUUUACAGAGAAAGGCACAAAGGUGUUUGUUAUUGAUUCUUCCUUGCCUGGUGGACUGGUAACUGAUCAAUACUGGUUGCUUAUUACCUUCACACUUGUACCCAGGUGAAACAAAUGAAUGUUAUUUCACUGACUUCUAUAAAUCUGAGACAGCAUUUACUGGCACUGAGAAAAACUUUUUAUUAUGUGUUGUAAUGUGUGCUAGCAUUUCAACUUUUUUGUUUUUUCUUGUUAUUUUUAAGUAGCAUAAUAAGGACUGUGUACAUUGCUUUGAAUUAAGCUGAAUUACAUUAAGCUAUACAAGGAUAUCAAGAAUUAGAAAGUUACACACACUUUUGUAAUGAAAAAGAAGAAAACUUCUAGUUUGAUUAAUUUAGUUUAAUUUUAAUUCAUAUGUGAUCAAACAAAAAGAUCAGAAAACAGUAAUUAUGUAAUCAAUCAAAACCAUUAUUUACAUUUUUCCUGGAUUAAUUUCUGGGAUACUACAGUAACUGCUCGCUGUUAAUCAUUAUAAUCUCAUGAAAAUUGAACUUUACUAAAUCAGUGCAAGCAACAGAAGUGACAAUUUUUUUUUGUCUAUGCAGAAUACCACUGACAACAGAACUAAAUGCACCUGCUACAUUUCAUUUCUCACUAACUGAUAAACAACAUGUUUCUCAGUCACAUGGAUCUUCACAGCACACAAUGGAGCAAAUUCACAGGAGCUCCAGAGUCUGUGCCUGGUAAAAGGAACUAAAAAUUUUUACAGGUCUUGAUUUGAAUGAAACUUGGUAUGACAGAAAUCUGUUCCUACAAAAUCUAACUCACUUCAAAUGGCCAAAAUUCCAUUAAUCAUUAUUUUAAAUGGUUUUGCAGUUUUACCAGUUUUAGUACCAUACAUUUGAUUUGGCACUGUUGGGAAUAUGACACAAGGUUUGAGAGAGAAAUCCUCACCAGAAUCAUAUCAGCCCUCCAUUGAAAAAGUCAAAAAAGACAAUGCAAAAUAAUUACAUAUACAUUACAGUUUCAAAAGAAAAACAUGUUUGAUUUUAAAUUUUUGCAUUGAAGGUCUCUUCAUGUUGCAUAUGUCUAGGAUUGUGGCCUAGAAAGC